AAAUGAGCCAAAUCCCAGAAAGAACACGAGCUCGGGGAUAUUUCCUGUGUCAUGGAGGGCUCUCCUUCCAUGAAUCCCCUUGUGAGAAAAGGAAAAGCAAUAGGCCACCAAUGCUCCUCUGAACAAAACAUCACCCAGACCCUUCACUAUUCACCCACUUGCCUCAUUUUGGUGCCUAUUUCCUUCCCUGAGGGACAGGGGAAUAGAAGGAAAAGCUCCAGUGUGAUACAUGACUGUGAAACAAGUUCCCUGGGGAACAACGGGACCUGGACAAGUUGUCUUGCUCAAAACCAUGUGCAGGGAAAGGGAAAGAGAGGACAGUCACCCUGUCCUGGUGUCAGUCCUUUGAGGUGCAUUGUCAGCUUAGAAAGUACCUGUUCGGGGAAAAUUAAAACCCAUUUACAAGGAGGAUGUGAGAUGUUGGCACUGUCAGCAGGUCUGAUAUCUUCUGUCCGUUCUCUGGUGCUAUGCUGGAAACACACAUGGAGCACAGCUGGUCUUGUGGAAUAGAUGGAUUAGCUCAGGCUUUAGCUGAUGUUGGAAGCUUCACGUUACAUUUUUAAUUACUGAAGGCAUGAAGUCACUGUUUACCAGCUUAUUAUGGAGUCCUUUUUCAAUACAGAAAUGUAACUAA